rnacentral:rRNA from 1 species
AGCUCCAAUAGCGUAUAUUAAAGUUGUUGCAGUUAAAAAGCUCGUAGUUGGAUUUCUGGCUCAGCUUACAGCUGUCCGUCCUUAUGGUAUGUGUACAGCUUGUUAGCAGCCAUCCUUCCGGGGAGUGUGUCUACCCUUCACUGGGCCGGACUCACGACCUGGAUCGUUUACUUUGAAAAAAUUAGAGUGUUUAAAGCAGGCAUAUCGCCGUUGAAUACAUUAGCAUGGAAUAAUAAGAUAGGACUCUGGUCCUAUUUUGUUGGUUUCUAGGACGAGAGUAAUGAUUGAUAGGGACAGUUGGGGGUGCUCGUAUUGAACGGCCAGAGGUGAAAUUCUCGGAUUCGUUCAAGACGAACUACUGCGAAAGCAUUCGCCAAGGAUGUCUUCUUUAAUCAAGAAC